rnacentral:rRNA from 1 species
UACACAUGCAAGUCGAACGGCAGCGCGGGGCAACCUGGCGGCGAGUGGCGAACGGGUGAGUAAUAUAUCGGAACGUACCCAAGAGUGGGGGAUAACGUAGCGAAAGUUACGCUAAUACCGCAUACGAUCCAAGGAUGAAAGCAGGGGAUCUUCGGACCUUGUGCUCCUGGAGCGGCCGAUAUCUGAUUAGCUAGUUGGUGAGGUAAAGGCUCACCAAGGCCACGAUCAGUAGCUGGUCUGAGAGGACGACCAGCCACACUGGAACUGAGACACGGUCCAGACUCCUACGGGAGGCAGCAGUGGGGAAUUUUGGACAAUGGGCGAAAGCCUGAUCCAGCAAUGCCGCGUGAGUGAAGAAGGCCUUCGGGUUGUAAAGCUCUUUUGUCAGGGAAGAAACGGUGAGGGCUAAUAUCCUUCGCUAAUGACGGUACCUGAAGAAUAAGCACCGGCUAACUACGUGCCAGCAGCCGCGGUAAUACGUAGGGUGCAAGCGUUAAUCGGAAUUACUGGGCGUAAAGCGUGCGCAGGCGGUUUUGUAAGUCUGACGUGAAAUCCCCGGGCUCAACCUGGGAAUUGCGUUGGAGACUGCAAGGCUAGAAUCUGGCAGAGGGGGGUAGAAUUCCACGUGUAGCAGUGAAAUGCGUAGAGAUGUGGAGGAACACCGAUGGCGAAGGCAGCCCCCUGGGUCAAGAUUGACGCUCAUGCACGAAAGCGUGGGGAGCAAACAGGAUUAGAUACCCUGGUAGUCCACGCCCUAAACGAUGUCUACUAGUUGUCGGGUUUUAAUUAACUUGGUAAC